rnacentral:lncRNA from 1 species
UUCUCACAAAUAAAUUAAAACAGUAUUUUGUAUGUAAGUUAUUUCGUAACAAUUCUGAAAUAUUGUGAUGAUAGAACUUUCUAACAAAUCUAAAAUCUCAUCCCAAACAAAUAACCAUCCGAUCAACAGUUGAAAUACACUACAACCUAAAACUACUGAUAAACUGUCCUAAAAGUAAAAGUACUAAAACUUAUUAAACAACGGGAAUAAGUAAAAACAAAGCGAUUCCAUUAACUAAUCAAACUCACAAAAGAGAUGAAGACAUUCGAAUCACAUUGCUUGUAGAAUAAUUCUUGCCACAUGAGAGGUGUGUCAAAUCUAACGUAUCUACGUAUAACAAAAAGAACAAAUAAAAAUUAAUAUCUAAGCUUUCUUUGGAGAUUUCCUGGCCUUGGAUGGAGAUUUAGGAGCAGUAGCAGCACUUUGAGUCUUCUUAGGCAAAAGCACAGGGUUAAUGUUAGGAAGAACACCACCAUGAGCAAUGGUAACACCAGCAAGCAAUUUUCCAAGCUCUUCAUCAUUCCUCACAGCCAACAACAAAUGUAGUAACACCAGCAAGCAAUUUUCCAAGCUCUUCAUCAUUCCUCACAGCCAACAACAAAUGUCUUGGACUAAUCCUGUUCUUCUUGUUAUCACGUGCCGCAUUUCCAGCCAACUCAAGAACCUUCACACAAACAAAUUUCAAAAUUAUGGUUCAGUUCAAUUUACAAAAUUCCAACUCAGUAGCAGUUAAAAAAUGAAACUGAGGAUGGAAAAAGGAAUUAAUUUACCUCAGCAGCAAGAUACUCAAGAACAGCGGCUAGGUAAACAGGAGCGCCGGUACCAACACGCUGAGCGUAUCUACCUUUCUUCAAGAAACGGCCGAUUCUUCCGACAGGAAAUUGAAGUCCAGCUCUGACGGAUCUUGUCACCGAUUUCUUCCUUGGUCCUCCUCCUUUCCUUCCUCCCGCACCUUUCUUCACCUUUGUGCUUGCGUCCAUUUUGAAAUUCGAACACUAGAUUCUAGAUGUUGAUUCGAUUUUUUUGUAAGAAAUGCUUAGAAUUGGAGAUGGUGAGAUAAAAUUAUGAUAGGUGUUGGCAAGCUUUAUACUUCUACGGUAACUAUAAGGAUUUUGCUCAGAAAAACAAAUCCAUUAGAAACAUUAUUUCAGAUCUAUGGCUCUUUGUCCCUUACCUGGCGAUCCGUGUCUCCUAAAACUGACCAAUGGGAAUUCAAAACCAAUCAGACGGUCUCACCUUUUUCUUAUUGAAUUUGGCUUUAUGCAAUUUUGUUUUAUUUUUUAUAAAAUUGGAUGAUUCUUUCUUUUUUUUAUAUAUAUAUAUAUAUCAAUUGGAUGACUCUCACAUUUAAAGCAAUUUUACUACUAUAUUCUUUAUCAAAUUUGUUAAUAUAUAUAAUUUUACCAUGAAUUUUGAGUCUUUAAUAAAAUUUUAGAAAAUUACAUUUUUUUCCCGCAACAAAGUUAAAAGUAGCAUAAAUUUUGGAAUUUUUGGUAUAAACAUAUUGUAAUUUUUUUAAUUUCCGAUAGAGACACGGAAGAUUUUAUCGGAAAUUAUAAAAUUACAUUUAUAUUUAUUGGAAAUUGUAAAAUUUCUGAGAAUUAUUACAACAUUUUGGAAAAACAAUCUAAUAAAAUCAGUUUAUGUCAUUAAAAAAAAUGAAUUUCGUUUUACGUAAAGAAAACAUUCACACUUGGUAUACGUUAUACCAAAUUAGUGUAAGUCAGAAUUCUCACUCACAUUUGAUAUACGAUUAUACCAAGUUAGUGUAAGUCAGAAUUCUCACUUUAAAUCAUGUUUGAAAUUGAAUAUGGAUAUCUUUCAAUUUUUCAAACACUCUAAGCGAAUUAUUGAGAAGAAAAGGGGAAAUGAAUUAAGUGGUGAUUAUAAGUCCUCAAAUAAGCUUGCAAAGUUAAAAUGUAAGUUGUCGUCAAUCCUAAUACAAAUGGAAAAAAAUACACACACAGAGAGUAUUUGGUCAUUUUUAAAUAUUAGCUUACCUUAUUCUUAGCUUUAAGAAUAUCAAAGAGAAAUGAAUCUCACUCUUUAUGAUAAUAUGUCACCAUGAGGGAACUUGAAAAGUAUCAUUUGACAUUGCUUCAACUUUCUUUAGUUGUAGUUGUAGAAAAUUUGAAAUAUUUGGCAAUCUUUGUUCACAUGUAUUGAAAGUGUUUGAAAUGAACGAUGUUACAUUUAUUCUUGAGAAGUAUAUUUUUAGAAGGUGGACAAGAGAUGUUCGUUGCGGCAUUAUCCAAGAAUGUAAGAGAAAAGAAAUUGAAGGAGAUCCAAAGCAUCUUCAACACAAAAACAUUGACAAAUUGUCUCUAAAUUCAUUAGAGUGGUGACCAAUGCAUCACCCAACAAUGAACAUCUCGAGUUUGUAGAUGAUAUUGUAGAAAUCACGUGUAAGAAAAUCAUGGAACUUCGCAUACAACCCAAGAAUAAUCCAAGAAUAAUGACACUCAUAAUAGUGAUAAUCUAACAAUUCAAUGUCAUGAUGUUAUGCAAUCAAAGGAAUUCAAGAAACAAUAUCGAGAUGCAACUUACUACAAAAAAAAAAGUACGGUCGAGUAUAUCAGGUAUUUAAGUCGAUGUUUAGAUCAUUGAUUUAGUUUUACAUGUAUUAUCAUUGAUUUUAAUUUUACCUAAUCAUUCUAGGAAAAACAUUAACAAGUCAAAUGAUUGAAUAAGUAUCUUAUUAGGCAUUUCUACCUUAUGAGCCUCCACAAUUACAAGAGGAUAAAUUUAGCUUCACAACAUUUUUUGGUAAUUUAAUUUGUAUUUGAAAAAGAAUUAUCCGUAUAAAUUUUAUCUUGAUGUUAAUUAAAUUUUGUUAUCAUGUAGGCACUCCUAAAUGAAACUGAUAUUGCAACAUUAUCGUGAUUGAAGCUAAUUAAUCACCAAGUCAUACUUUUGUUAUAUCAAUGAUGUUUAGUACAGUGUCUAUUACUUGGUGAAUUGAGAAUUGAGAGUUGAGAAUACAAACAAGUUUCUACAUAAUACAAACAAGUUUCUGCAUGAUACAACUUCCUUCUUAAUACUAGCAUGACAGUUCAAUAAAUAUAAGUAAUUUUCGGUAUGAUCUCAUGAAUGAUUACUACGAAUGAUAUUUCAAGAUAUAAUAACAUUACUAUUCGCAAAAAUAUUGGACGCCGAAUAAUAACAUUACUAAUCAAACUCACAAAAGAGACGAAGACAUUCGAAUUACAUUGCUUGUUAUACAUUGAGUAAUUCUUGCCACAUGAGAGGUGUGCCAAAUCUAACGUAUCCACAAAUAACAAAAAGAACAAAUAAAACCUAAUAUCUAAGCUUUCUUUGGAGAUUUCCUGGCCUUUGAUGGAGACUUGGGAGUUGUAGAAGCACUUUGAGUCUUCUUAGGCAAAAGCACAGGGUUAAUGUUAGGAAGAACACCACCAUGAGCAAUGGUAACACCAGCAAGCAAUUUCCAAGCUCUUCAUCAUUCCUCACAGCCAACAACAAAUGUCUUGGACUAAUCCUGUUCUUCUUGUUAUCACGUGCGCAUUUCCAGCCAAUCAAGAAACCUUCACGCAAACAAAUUUCAAAAUUAGGGUUCAGAUUCAAUUUACAAAGUUCAAACUCUAUAGUAGCAAUGAAAAAAUGAAACUGAAGAUUGAAAGAGGAGUUAAUUUACCUCAGCAGCAAGAUACUCGAGAACAGCGGCUAG